UUAUAUUUGUAAAAAUACUUAUAUCACUGAAUUGGUUUUCAGAGUUCAAGACAAACGAUUAAGAACAACUCAACAUGUCGCAGAUGGACCUAGUACGGCUACUGAUUCGUGAGUUUCAAUAAAUGUACACGAAAAAACCUUAUACUUAAAAAUUUUAAUAAUUUUCCAGAAAUUUACCUGACAAUGACGAGACUGUCUUGGAGGCAAGAGUCGUUGUGCCAAAACACAUCAAAACAGUUCUAAAAGUAAAAGGAUUCCAUGACAAAUUACCCAAAAACCACAAAAUGCUCAUUUUGUAUCGUGAUCUGUUAAAACAAAGCCACCCAAAUCAGGAAAGGGCCGUACUGAACUAUGUCGCCAUCAUAAGUCGGGUCUUCGAGUACGUUUCAUCAGCUAUGGAAAAAGCCGAAAAACCACCGCAACAUUGGUCAGAUAUGCUUCAGGAAGAUCAACUAGUCAUUCAAUACCUGGAUAAGUGAGUUGACCCUAUUGAAUACCAAAAUCAUUACAAUCCAAACCAACCUCAAUACACUGUGUACCUGAGCGAUUAACUCUUUCCGAUAACAUUUGACCUCUACGACAAUAACUAGUUAUCUUAAGCAGCUUCGUGUCUUAUAUACAAAAACUAUUAAAAUGUUUUCUUUUUCAGAUAUCGAUUUCCCAAAAUUCCUGCGUCUCCCACACAACCGUGCCCUUUAGUGUUAAGUCGUAUUAACCACUCGAUGGAAGUGCUAUCUAACUAUUAUAAAGGGGUCGGAUUGUUUAUAAAAUAUAUUUGUUAAUUGUAUCGUUAUUUUUGUAUAAUGUGUAUGCUUGGCCAACUUAUACCUCGUGCAUGGUAAAUGGAACAUACCUGGUGUAGUAGAUCCUACAGAACAUAUAUCAUCACACAUUACACCCGAAAGUUCUGUAAACAGUAUGUGUGAUAUAACCAGUGUAUUAGAUCCUAUAGACCUUAUUUCAACACACCUUACGCCGGAAAGCUCUGUAUCCAUGAUUGUCGAUGAACCGGUACCAAUUAUUGCCAAUAUUUUAAGGGAACCCUCAGUUGAAACAGAACCCAGUGUGCAAAAUCAACGGUUAGAUGAGCAGACUCCAAAAUUGGCCCGUAACCAAACGUUACGCGUGCUGAAAGCCGCUGGGCUUCAAGAGAAAUUAUCUGACAAUCAUUCAUUAAUCGUGCUUUUCCGGGAUGCGAUAAAAGAUAGGUAUAAAUCCAACGUCUUGCAAAACUACCUAGGAAGCAUCCGUCGAAUAUUUUACUACGUUGAUAACAUAUUGAGUAAUGCAGGAACACCGGCCCAACAUUGGUCAGAUAUGCUCUUUCAAUAUCAACUAGUUAUCGACUACUUUGACAAGUGAGUCUAAAAUAAACAUAUACUAACCUCUCAUACAUACAACUUGAUGAUAAUUUGUAUACAAUGUAUUUCAUUAAUUUUUUUUUCAUAGACGAUUGGCAUACAACGCAACGCCAUUGACGAUCCAGACGUACAAAAAACAUAUCAUAUCCUUAUACGAGACCGCGAUCACCAGUUUCCCUUUGAAUGGGGAUUCGUUGCCAAGUCGUUGUCAGAACUCGGCAAAGGCAAACGGCUCGUUAGUAAACCGGUUGGAAGACUCAAUUGGACACAUAAUACGUCACUUGUCGAUCCACGGAAAACAAGACAAAAAUCAAUAAGUGUCCAAUGUACAGCGAGUUCAAGACAAACGAUUAAGAACAACUCAACAUGUCGCAGAUGGACCUAGUACGGCUACUGAUUCGUGAGUUUCAAUAAAUGUACACGAAAAAACCUUAUACUUAAAAAUUUUAAUAAUUUUCCAGAAAUUUACCUGACAAUGACGAGACUGUCUUGGAGGCAAGAGUCGUUGUGCCAAAACACAUCAAAACAGUUCUAAAAGUAAAAGGAUUCCAUGACAAAUUACCCAAAAACCACAAAAUGCUCAUUUUGUAUCGUGAUCUGUUAAAACAAAGCCACCCAAAUCAGGAAAGGGCCGUACUGAACUAUGUCGCCAUCAUAAGUCGGGUCUUCGAGUACGUUUCAUCAGCUAUGGAAAAAGCCGAAAAACCACCGCAACAUUGGUCAGAUAUGCUUCAGGAAGAUCAACUAGUCAUUCAAUACCUGGAUAAGUGAGUUGACCCUAUUGAAUACCAAAAUCAUUACAAUCCAAACCAACCUCAAUACACUGUGUACCUGAGCGAUUAACUCUUUCCGAUAACAUUUGACCUCUACGACAAUAACUAGUUAUCUUAAGCAGCUUCGUGUCUUAUAUACAAAAACUAUUAAAAUGUUUUCUUUUUCAGAUAUCGAUUUCCCAAAAUUCCUGCGUCUCCCACACAACCGUGCCCUUUAGUGUUAAGUCGUAUUAACCACUCGAUGGAAGUGCUAUCUAACUAUUAUAAAGGGGUCGGAUUGUUUAUAAAAUAUAUUUGUUAAUUGUAUCGUUAUUUUUGUAUAAUGUGUAUGCUUGGCCAACUUAUACCUCGUGCAUGGUAAAUGGAACAUACCUGGUGUAGUAGAUCCUACAGAACAUAUAUCAUCACACAUUACACCCGAAAGUUCUGUAAACAGUAUGUGUGAUAUAACCAGUGUAUUAGAUCCUAUAGACCUUAUUUCAACACACCUUACGCCGGAAAGCUCUGUAUCCAUGAUUGUCGAUGAACCGGUACCAAUUAUUGCCAAUAUUUUAAGGGAACCCUCAGUUGAAACAGAACCCAGUGUGCAAAAUCAACGGUUAGAUGAGCAGACUCCAAAAUUGGCCCGUAACCAAACGUUACGCGUGCUGAAAGCCGCUGGGCUUCAAGAGAAAUUAUCUGACAAUCAUUCAUUAAUCGUGCUUUUCCGGGAUGCGAUAAAAGAUAGGUAUAAAUCCAACGUCUUGCAAAACUACCUAGGAAGCAUCCGUCGAAUAUUUUACUACGUUGAUAACAUAUUGAGUAAUGCAGGAACACCGGCCCAACAUUGGUCAGAUAUGCUCUUUCAAUAUCAACUAGUUAUCGACUACUUUGACAAGUGAGUCUAAAAUAAACAUAUACUAACCUCUCAUACAUACAACUUGAUGAUAAUUUGUAUACAAUGUAUUUCAUUAAUUUUUUUUUCAUAGACGAUUGGCAUACAACGCAACGCCAUUGACGAUCCAGACGUACAAAAAACAUAUCAUAUCCUUAUACGAGACCGCGAUCACCAGUUUCCCUUUGAAUGGGGAUUCGUUGCCAAGUCGUUGUCAGAACUCGGCAAAGGCAAACGGCUCGUUAGUAAACCGGUUGGAAGACUCAAUUGGACACAUAAUACGUCACUUGUCGAUCCACGGAAAACAAGACAAAAAUCAAUAAGUGUCCAAUGUACAGCGAGUUCAAGACAAACGAUUAAGAACAACUCAACAUGUCGCAGAUGGACCUAGUACGGCUACUGAUUCGUGAGUUUCAAUAAAUGUACACGAAAAAACCUUAUACUUAAAAAUUUUAAUAAUUUUUUCCAGACAUUUACUUGACAAUGACGAGACUGGCUUGGAGGCAACAGUCGUUGUGCCAAAACACCUCAAAACAGUUCUAAAAGUAAAAGGAUUCCAUGACAAAUUACCCAAAAACCACAAAAUGCUCAUUUUGUAUCGUGAUCUGUUAAAACAAAGCCACCCAAAUCAGGAAAGGGCCGUACUGAACUAUGUCGCCAUCAUAAGUCGGGUCUUCAAGUACGUUUCAUCAGCUAUUGAAAAAGCCGAAAAACCACCGCAACAUUGGUCAGAUAUGCUUCAGGAAGAUCAACUAGUCAUUCAAUACCUGGAUAAGUGAGUUAACCCUAUUGAAUAUCAAAAUCAUUACAAUCCAAACCAACCUCAAUACACUGUGUACCUGAGCGAUUAACUCUUUCCGAUAACAUUUGACCUCUACGACAAUAACUAGUUAUCUCAAG
rnacentral:lncRNA from 1 species